CCCAACAGCAUCAAGUUUAUUUCCAGGCAGCAGGCAAGCAGGGCUGAGAACUUGUCCCAGGCUACAAGCCUCCCUGCUGAGAAUACAAGCAGGGCUUUCAGGUUUUAUGCCUCCCUGCCUGCCACAGCUUCUGUGCUUGUAUUUGCACUCCCCGUUUGACCCCUUCCCCAGAUUCUGUCCAGGAAACUUCAUGUUCGGUUGAAAUUGUUAUAAAAUUCAACUGGAAGUUUUCUUCUCCUUCUGGUUUUUCCUCAAUUCCACUGGCAGCCCUCCCCAAGGACUCCUGCAAGAUAAAGACAGAAAUGGCCUCCCUGAGGACUGAGGGCCCACAGGGCUCUUGCUGCUGCUUUCUCUACCCCUAUAUUUUGUGUGGCUCUCUGUAUUUGUCUCAGCUCCAGGUAAGGUCAAAUCCUUCUCUUAUGAUCUGGACCUUCAGGUUUCCCAGUGAAGGGAAUGACAGAAUCUGGGAUGAUUUUCUUCUGUUUCUUAUCUAAAAAACAACAAAAAGCCCAGCAUACACUGACUCACACAAACCUUUUGCUAGAGGCAGCUCUGUAGACUUAAGACGCUGUCAUUUUUCAGAAGAUCCCAGCUUGCUUUGGAACUACAGUCAGCCCUGCAACCCACCCUCACCGCUACAGACACCGCUGCUGUCUGUAAAGACAAUGCUGCGAUGAAUACAACAGUGCAUUCUUUUUUAGAACAAGUGUAAGGAUUCCUAUGUGAUUAUCAACCAAAGAGGCCACGGGAUGAUUUUGUGCUUGGUGGAGUCUGGCGUAACAGACUAAAGUAGUUAUGGAUUGUUGGAGAAAAACUGUGGUUGAAGGCACAGGUAUUCUGCACAGGAGGGGUCCCUUUGGUCAGCACCAAGAGGCUGCAUGUGUGGCCAGGGCCAUGGGAGGCCCACAGAGACCACUAUGCUCUGGGAUUACUACCACCCAAUGGAAUGCCGCUCUGGGGUCGCCAGGUUCUGCAGAAGACUUCUCCCUCACACUAUGGUCAGCAGCCUGGUGUGGACAGGCUGGGGGCUGUGGGCACUAACGAUCAACACCACGCGUAUUUGAAGAACCCUAUGUGAGUGCCUCAAGACCCGGAAGGACACCUACACAAGUGGCUAUUUCAGAAAACAGCUGGAGAAAUCAGACUUCCUUGAGGGCUCCUCUCCAAGUGGGGAGGGACAUCUUUGGUUGAUAUUAAGUUAAUAUUUCGAUAGGAAGACUGGAGGCUGUGUCUCAAUAUAGAAGCGGCCAGUUCCCGUGAGUUUGUGUGCCAGUUAACAGCAUAUUUUCUUGCCAAUUAAUAUAGUAGGACAUUGCUCUGUUCUGUCUCUACCCCUGCUGGGUGACAGCUCAUGUGACACCUGUUUUAACAUGGUCCCUGCACAACCAUAUUCCCAGAGACAUCACUCCAUUCUAUAUGAACCCUGCAGUAACACCACAGAAAACACAGGUGCUGAUUUUCUCUUCAACACAAUCUAUAAACUCUUUUGGCAACAGAACCACUUAGAGAUUGACAUUUUUACACUGAUCAUUCCAGAGCGUAUACACUGAACUCAAAUGGCUUCGGUGAUGGAAACUCUGUAGACCCCUGAUCAUUCAUGGGAAAUAUUGGUGGGGGAUCUUCUCUCAGGGUCUUGGAUGGCCAUGGAACUGGCUUGCUUACUUUUGGCUAAACCAUAAACUGAAGAAUUGGUUAAGAAAAAGAUGAGUUAUUCUAUAUUCUGCCAUAAACACCAGGCACUCCGUUUCUCUGGGUGUCUCAUCGCUUAUUGGGGAUCUAAUCCCAGAUUCCACCAAGCCAUGCACUGAAGGGAAGCCAAAUGGAUUCCCUCUCUGAAAGGAAAGAGCAUUUCU